CACUUCUCCUUCACCGUCGGGGUACCAUUAAUUCUCCUCCCCUAACCGUCAACACUCAGGUAAAGUAGGAGACAGAGAGAGAUAGGAAAGAGACACUUUUAGGCUUCUAGAGACUUCGCUUAGCUUCUCUUUAGCGGCACGAGGAGGUGUCGGUUGCUCUCCUACCCGCUGCGACGCGACUACUCCUCUACCAAACGUCUCAAACGGACUCGGGAACGAUGGCGCUCUCGUCCAGUUCGCUGUAAUCGUAUAACACGGUACGUUGCUUUCCUUAUCAAAGUUGUUGGACUGUCCUCUAUGCGACUUCAAAUUCCGUUUGUUUGCCCGCAUGUGGCAGUUGACGGUGUUCCCCGGAUCUCUCUCACGUUACAUACCCUCACUCACCUCCUUCAAACAAAGUCUGUUGUUCAACCCCUUCCCAGUCGACCAAGAGAAGAUGAACCUGGUCGGAAGGGGUUCCCGUCAACAGACACACUAAGUUAAGCCCUUACUGUGACUUCUACUUCCUAGGUUCCUACUACUACUGACGUACCUUCAAGGUCUACUUCUUCUGCUCCUACCUCUUCGGUUGUUUUUUGCUACUACUGCUGUACUAAGCGUGAUCCCAAGAACUAGACUGAGUUCUUCUCCUUAGUCUAGACCCUCCCGAGGAAGACGAGUCGUUACCCAAGUAUCCCAACGGUAAAACACGUGGCGGAGUGCUCCUGACUACAAAAAAAACCCCUCGUACUAAGAAUGUCGCCUCGAGUAAAAGAGUUUUUUCCUCGUAUAAUUUCCUCUCUUCUCAAUGAACAGCUCUAGGAGCCUGUGUAAAAAUUACAACAACACUUCCUUGCCUCACUGAUAUCUGCCACACAACGACAAAAAAAUAAAAGGAAAUUCAGAGACCUUAUACCUGGGUCCGAGUUGUAGAAAGAUCUCCGGUGGGUCGCCCUGACAAACUUAACUCUUUACUCGUAUCUGUUUCUCUCCUUUGCUCUCUCCUUCCUUCGGCGUAGUGCCCCCGCCCGUGUAGUUUCAAAAGGCGCCGCCUUCAGCAGCCGCUGUUCUACGAGCCGCGGGGAGGUCUGAGGAGCGCGGGACGACUACUCCAUUCGAUGUCGGGGAAAAGGGGAGAGAGGGGAGGUAGGGGGGUUUAACACGGGGGUAAACGCACAUGCGCCCCACUUUAGUUCGACGCCUACAGUUAAAAGAUAUCAGAUCCCAAGCUAUUAGACAACUCUUAGUGCUAAGGCUCUCCCUUAACGUUCAGCUCUUCUCCCUAAAAACCACAAAAAGACACGAAAAAACGCGCUUAGUACUUAGACUCUGUCACUUAAUCACAAACAGCCGAGCUCGAACAUGAAAAGACACCAGCCUCACUGAGACCAACCUACCUACCAACACGUGUCGACGGCGCUGUCCUCCUAAGCGGUCGUCAACACGACGACACGUAGACCUACCCCUUGACCGCCCCAGACGGCACUCCACCACCCGCGGCCACCAUGACGGGCUGCUUUUCCCCCGUCCCCGUCGCGCCGACAGAAGAGGUAGCAGGUGGCCGCGACGGGACCAGUCACAUGCAGGACCUGAGUGGUCUAGGCCUGGGUCCGGGGUAAGAGUACCAACCUUAAACGUGGGGCCUGCGUAAGAGUAAGUGAGAAAACUAGACGUGUAAAAAACAAAACCAUCCUCAUGUAGACUUAAAAUACACGAACUACUCUCACAGUUAGAUUAAGACAAGUAACAGUCAUCUGUAAGACACAAACACUUAAAUGUUUCAUAGGUUCAAGUGACAAUCAUCUGUAGAGACUUAAUGAAUUCGUUGUACGAACAUUCACCAGUCAGGAGGACAUCAUGAUGGCACGUUCACUAGACGUGGACAAUCAACAAACGCACGUGCAUAUAUAUACUACAUCGAUGUCUUAAGGAUUACGGUCAAAAACUCUGUAUAUACCACGGGGCUGGGUAAGGGACAACAUACAUACAAAAACCACCGUACUCCUACGGUGACGACGAUAAAAAAUUUACAAACUCAAUUGACUACGUAUGUCAACUUGUUCUGAGACAAACUAAAGUAAGUCCAACCGGAAUCACUCCACCAAAAAACUACAAAAAACAUAUACUUAUGAACUUUUGUCUCUACUACUUUGACCACGAAAAAGAUACUUUGUCAA
rnacentral:rRNA from 1 species